AACGAACGCCGGCGGUAUGCUUAACACAUGCAAGUCGUACGUGAAGGGGACUUCGGUCCCUGGAAAGUGGCGCACGGGUGAGUAACACGUGGAUAAUCUGCCCGGUGGUCUGGGAUAACAUCUCGAAAGGGGUGCUAAUACCAAAUAAGCCCACGACGUCUUCGGACGACGCGGGAAAAGGGGGCUUCGGCUCCUGUCCCCGGAUAAGCCUGCGUUGGAUUAGCUAGUUGGUAAGGGUAAAGGCCUACCAAGGCAGAGAUCCAUAGCUGGUCUGAGAGGACGACCAGCCACACUGGCACUGAGACACGGGCCAGACUCCUACGGGAGGCAGCAGCGGGGAAUUUUGGACAAUGGGGGAAACCCUGAUCCAGCGAUGCCGCGUGUGUGAAGAAGGCCUAAGGGUUGUAAAGCACUUUAGGCGUGGACGAAAGACUAUAUUCGAAGAGAGUAUAGAGGAGACGGUACAUGCAGAAUAAGCACCGGCUAACUCUGUGCCAGCCGCCGCAGUAAUAC
rnacentral:rRNA from 1 species